UUAUGAGAGUUUGAUCCUGGCUCAGGACGAACGCUGGCGGCGUGCCUAAUACAUGCAAGUCGAACGCUUUUUCUUUCACCGGAGCUUGCUCCA
rnacentral:rRNA from 1 species